ensembl:lncRNA
GUGGUGGUAGUAGCAGUAGUAGUGGUAUGGGUGGUAAUGAUAACAGUUUAGUGAUGGUGGUGGUAGUAGUGGUAUGGGUGGUAAUGAUAACAGUUUAGUGAUGGUGGUGGUGGUAGUAGUGGUAUGGGUGGUAAUGAUAACAGUUUAGUGAUGGUGGUGGUGGUAGUAGUGGUAUGGGUGGUAAUGAUAACAUGAUGGUGGUGGUGGUGGUAGUAGUGGUAUGGGUGGUAAUGGUAAUGAUAACAGUUUAGUGAUGGUGGUGGUGGUAUGGGUGGUAAUGGUAAUGAUAACAGUUUAGUGAUGGUGGUGGUGGUAGUGGUAUGGGUGGUAAUGGUAACAGUUUAGUGGUGGUGGUGGUAGUAGUGGU